rnacentral:lncRNA from 1 species
CCAAGGAUAAGAAUUCCAAUAAUGCUACUGGUACAUUGUGCCAUUCAAUAUAGUGUCCAAAAUAGUGAUGUGACGUUUUUUUCCCCAAUUUCUCGUGCCCAGAAAAAACCAACAAAUUAAAACCGAAGAAAAUAAAAAACGAGCCCUACCAUUCAUUUCCCUUUCAACUUCACUCCGUCCCUCUACUGCCCGCCUGCCUGCUUUCACUCCGACGAUGGCGACAGCGACGUCCUCUCCUCAACGCAGUCGACGCUCCAUUUCCUCCACGAGCCCUAGCUUCUAUCUUCAUUUUCACAUUCAUUCCCUCUCUCUACUCACUGCCUACGUUCCGCAACCACUCCAGUCGUUCGUUCCCUUUCCCGACGCCCGUGACGGCGACCCCCUUUUCUGCAAUGCAUUCGACACCCACGUAAUGGAAGGGUUUUCAGACCAAUUUAUGUCAUUCCCCGAUGUGGCUGCCGGUUGAUUUGAAGAUACCACCGGCUCAAAUGGUACUUUUCCUUUCCUUUCAAUUCGAAAUAUCAUGGUUUGGGCUGUAGAAAAUUCCAUUUGAAAUGAACCAUUGAUUUUCCUUCUUCCUCCGUCUCUGUAGAGAACGACAGGCCUAUUGAAGGAGGGUCACAUGAUGUUUCGGACAACAUGGUUGUUGAGAUCACCGACCAAGGUAUGCGUUGUUCAUUCGUGAAUUUUGCAGUUAUAAUUUCGUCAUAUGCCCAAUGUCAAUAAAUGGACAGAUUAAAAUAGUGGAAUUGUGAUAUUUGAAAUGCUUCUCUGUGUUCUAUUUGAAAGAGAUGAAGUGCUAUAAGUGUUAGGUUCAACAGUGGAUGACAGAAUUAAAAAAAAAUUGGAAAGCAGCCUAAUUGUUUAUCACCAUAUUAUUUACAUUGAAACAAUCGUAUCAUGUCUAUUGGUGUAAAGCCUAAUGUGAAAUGGCAUUCUUGCAGGAGUGGAUGAUGGCAUUCUUGAAGGAGUGGAUGUUAACUCGUCUAAUAUUGUGGGUGACGACGUUUUGGCCAACAAAAUAGUAGGUGUUGAAAAUGAGAUAGUUGUGCCUACAAAAAUUUGCGGAUGAGAUCGAAGUAUUCGAAUUCUACAAGAGAUAUGCUUAUCAUGUAGGAUUUCCUGUUAGAAAACGAACUACAAAGAGGGGAGAUGAUGGGAUAGUAAGGAAUGUGAGUUUUACCUGUAGUCGAGAAGGGCGACGAAAUCGUAACCAAAGUACUUCCUUGAAUCCUCUACCAACAAUCCAAACUGGGUGUAAAGCCAAAUUGACUGUGUCCUCUGAUGCACGUAAAUUGUUUCGAAUAAACUUUUUGCAUUUAGAGCAUAACCAUAAAACAAGCCCAUCUAAGUUUAGGUUGUACAGAUGUAAUAGGCAAGUUAGUGAACGUGUGAAAAGAAAGCUUGAGGUAAAUGACAUAGCAGGAAUACCAUUGCAUAAGAGCUUUAAUUCAACUGUAGUGGAGGCGGGUGGUUUUGAUAACAUGACAUGUGUUGAGAAAGAUUGCAGAAACUUCAUCGAGAAAGUGCGACGUUUAAGACUUGGGGAAGGGGAUGCCGUUGCAAUUCAAGCAUAUUUCUCGGAAAUGCAAACUCGUAGUCCUGGUUUUUUCUUUUGCAUGGACUUGGAUGAUGAUUGUCGGUUCAGAAAUGUGUUUUGGGCAGAUAACAGAUGUCGUGAAGCAUAUAAGGAAUUUGGGGAUGUCGUUACAUUUGAUACCACAUACCUCACUAACAAGUAUGAUAUGCCUUUUGCUCCUUUUGUGGGGGCCAAUCACCAUGGGCAGUCAACUCUUCUUGGUUGUGGUUUGGUUUCAAAUGAAGAUACUAACACAUUUGUUUGGUUAUUUCGGACAUGGCUAGAAUGCAUGAAUGAUCAAGCUCCUAAUGGAAUAAUUACAGAUCAAGAUCGAGCUAUGCAAAAUGCUAUUCAAAUUGUCUUCCCUAACACGAAGCAUAGAUGGUGCUUAUGACAUAUACUAAAGAAGUUGCCGGAAAAGUUUGGCUAUCACAAAGCCAAAGGCUCAAUAUUACAUGCUAUACAUGUGUUAGUCUACGACACAAUAAGUUGUGAAGAAUUUGAGGAAGGAUGGUUGAAUAUACUUGAUCAUUUUAAAUUACGAGAUCAUGAUUGGUUGAGUGGACUCUAUAAAGAGAGAAGUCGUUGGGUACCAUGCUACCUGAACACUACAUUCUGGGUUGGUAUGUCAACCACACAAAGGAGUGAGAGCAUGAAUACAUUUUUUGACGGUUAUGUGCAUUCGAAAACUUCUUUAAAGCUUUUUGUUGAGCAAUAUGAGCGGGCAUUGCGAAGUAAAGUGGAGAAGGAAUUUCAAGCUGAUUUUAGAUCAUUUUCACAAAUGAUUCCAUGUGCCACUAAGUAUGAUAUGGAGAAACAAUUUCAAGAUGUGUAUACUUUAUCAAAAUUUAGAGAGUUCCAACAAGAAUUCACGGGGAAGGUAUACUGUGAAGUCUUAUCUACAACAGACUCGCUCGAGCAAACGAAGUACGAAGUACGUGAGGAUAUCAUUCUCAGUGAAGGAAUGAAGAAAAGAAUGUUUAUAGUUCAUUUCCGUAGAGACAGUUGUGAGAUUGAUUGCAAUUGUCAUUUGUUUGAGUUUCGAGGCAUCAUUUGCAAACACUCAAUAUCGGUUUUAAUUCGGAAUGACGUACAAUUGCUUCCGGAUAAGUAUGUCUUGCGGAGAUGGAGGCGAGAUGUUAGUAGACCAUACAUACGAGUUCCAGCAACAUACGAUGGUUUGGUUUGUACAGCUGAACAAUUAAGGUAUGAGAGGUUGCGUCACGCUUUUACCAAGAUGGCAGACUUGGUAGCGCGAAACGAAGAACGGUCUAAUCAUCUAUUGGGGUGGAUUGAAUUCCAAACAAACCAAUUAUCUAAAUCAGACGUUGGUAACUCGGGGUUUGCACGUGUCUGAAGCUCGGAAUGACGAAAGCUUGCACAUUUUGGACCCGAAGCUUACGAAAAGAAAGGGUGCCCCCAAAAAAUUGCGCAAAAAGAGUCCGUUGGAGGCGAGUUCAAAAAAAUCAAAGGGUCGAAAAAUGGUCUUGCUAUCUCUACAUUGCUCUUAUCAGUUAAUGGUUUGUGUAAUCAUUUAAGUGCCUUUUAACCAACUUAUUGUUUUCAACAUGUGUAGGUUCCAGCAAAUUCAACCCUUCCAAUUAGGUGUAGUAGACCGGAAGAAAAUGUCGCGAACACACAAAAUGAUGACGAGGC